UAAGGAAUAUUGCUCAAUGGGAGAAAUCCUGAAGCAGCAACGCCGCGUGGAGGAUGAAGGGUCUAUGACUUGUAAACUCCUGUAAAGAAGGAAAAAAUUCCCAUUUGAUGGGAGAUGAUGGUACUUCUGGAGUAAGCCACGGCUAACUACGUGCCAGCAGCCGCGGUAAUACGUGGGGGCAAGCGUUGUCCGGAUUUACUGGGUGUAAAGGGUGCUCAGGCGGAUUUGUAAGUCAGAGGUGAAAUCUUACAGCUUAACUGUGAAACUGCCUUUGAUACUGCAAGCCUAGAGUAUGGAAGAGAGUGAUGGAAUAUCUGGUGUAGCAGUGAAAUGCGUAGAUAUGAGAUAGAUCAUCAAUGGCGAAGGCAGUCACUUGGUCCAUUACUGACGCUAAAGCACGAAAGCGUGGGUAGCAAAC
rnacentral:rRNA from 1 species